UAUGUGCCAUUUAAUCUGAUAUAAUUAAGAAAACAACCGUUUCGCCUUUUCUUAGCAAUCAAAGCUGUAAUUCGGUCUCAACCCACAGAGAUGAACAACCUUUACCCAUGGAACAUAUUACUAUCCCAGCCUUCCCAGAAUGCCUAGAUUUUGAUAAGAAUGGAACUAAGAGCGUGAAGUUAGCCAAUUUGAUUCUUUUCAUUAUUUGUGAGAAGGAAAUUGAGGUGACAUUAAGAUUUAGUUGGUUUCAUUCAUCACUCAGAAUUAUUUGAUUGUCUGUCUUUUUAUUGUGUUCUGAAGCAGAUGGCACUACCAACAGAGGGAUGAACUUGUGAAUUGUUGAUUCAAACACGAUAAGUAUCCCUUUCAAAGAUAGGAAAUGGUCUGCUGCAAGUGGGUCGAUGUUGAGUUCUUCGGAUCAGCCGUUCAAGGAAUGAAAAUGGCAGGAACCCAACCCCAGGAAGAUACAAAAAUUCAAAAGACAAAUGAAAAGACAACUUAAGGUAUUCGAUGAAGAAAUGACAUGACAGUGGGUAACAUAACUUCCUAAAGGGCUUUCGAGGAUAGAGUUCGAAUUCCCAUGGAGAUUUGUACAGAAAGUUAAGCUAAAUCUAUAGAAAAAGAAACUUUUUAAUGGAUACAACAACUACACGGCAUAGUAUUCAUUUCGGGACAUACUCACAGUAUCAAACUGGAUGGUGGAUUCGUAUAUGUGACAAUAUGUUGUUCUACCAUUAUUAGCACUUAAAAAAGAGCUGGAAGGUUAGUUAUGGGGUGACCAUGCUUAUAAAAGGAGAAGUUUAAAAACACCGUUCCAAGUGGGAUGCAAAGUUAGGAAAUUGGUUUUUUAUCAAUGUUUCCUUUAAACUAUCAAGUUUGGUGUCCGUAAUUGGUUUUUGUUAGAAGUGCAAAUACAUACCCGGGCCUCAAGAUAGAUCGUAAUCUAGUGCCGCAAUACUUGACAGAAAGAAAUGUUAUCAGUGAAAAAUGAUGGCGUGAAUGCUGCAAUACUUGACAGGAAUAAAUGUUGCCGGAAAAUGAUGACGUGAAUGCGGUUAAUGCUGCCAUUUUGAAGAUUUACCAAGGGCGUUUCUACACAUACUUGGUGGCCGACAAAGUGACGGAACUACCAUUAUUACCCUUUCUAAAGGGAGCUGCAAGGUUAGUAAUGGGGUGACCAUUCUUAUAGGAGUAGGUUAAAACGAUGUUGCAAGUGCAAAUAAAGGGAAUUGGUUUUUUAAGUUUCCUUUAAACUAGCAAGUUUGGUGUCUGUGACAAAAAGAAAUGUUUUGGCAAGGUUGGCUGCCCGGUUAUGAAGCUAAGAAAUAGUGCAGCAAAAACCGGGCUCUGCAAGGUACGGAGACUAAGGGUUGAGUGACAAGCAACCAUCUUAACUGGUAAUUAAAGAAAGGGAGAAUGUAUUCAUACAAAGGAUAUCCUUAACUUCAUCAUCGUUGGGUAUCUCAAUGCAAGCGACACACAAACAGUAUCCAUAUGUUUUCUUAUGGAAUGACAACCAACAAAGUCGCAGAAACAGUCUGCCAAAGUGAGAUUAUUGAGCAUACAGUAGAGAGAUCUAUGACGUCAAAGACGAUGAUAAUACCUUAAAGCAACUUUACAAGAUGGAUGUAAGUUUCUGCCUUCUCGGAGAUUUGACGCUUUGUCCUUAACAGACUCCUAAUGCAUUGCUUUGUGGAAUUCAGACGGAUAAGGCAUCUGGACGAGGAACCCUGUUUUCGUUCUCUCAAACACUUAACUGUGGAGGUCUUACUAAAGAUGGUCUAAGAAUAUCCAGAUAUUUGCAUGUUGCUGGGAAAGGAAAGGUCAUUGCAUUAAUGAAUAUAACAUAAUGUUUAUAAGAGGGUAUUUCGCGUCUUGAAAGGGCAACUGAAAAGGGAAAGUCUACAAGAUCAUCCAUAGCCAGUUAUAUGCCAGGAUGCACAGAUGCGAGAAGAAUGAAGGAAAAUGACACGACGCAUGAGAUUGGGAGCGUUUGUAACUACUACUGCAAAGAAUGAACAAACUCUUUUUAUUUUUAACUCACUAUGCAGAAUGUCCAAGAUAAAUAAAUGAACCGACGUUUGUAAUCUCGAAAAAUUCAAUUGACAAGUUAUUUUUAUACCAAAAUUUAGAAUUUCUAUGUGUUCCA